GGAGGGGGCGGAAGAACCACCUGGCGACCGUGAAGAGGCCAGGUUUUGGGGAGCAGCCAGAUAAAGAACUGUGUGACAGUGUGACAAGUACUAAAAAGAGGCGUGUUUGAAGUUCUUUAUGGCUGGAGAGGAAGGAGCACGAAAAUAACAAGUAGAAGAGAGGAUGUGAACAAAUUGGAAUCCUUGUGCAUCGUUGGUGUGAAGGUCAUGAAGACAUCCUCCCCAUGCUUUCUUCCAGAAGUUUUGUUGUUUAGUUUUCACACUUAGGUCUCGGAUCCAUUCUGAACUACUUCUCUCAACAGUGUAAGUGUAGGGAUCAAGAUUCAUGUUCCCACAUGUACAUAUGCAAUUGACCUAGCAUCAUGUAUUAAAAAGACCAUCUUUUCUGCACUCAUUUGCAGUGGUACCUUUGUAACAGAUCAGAUGACCAUAUAUAUGUGGAUCUCUCAAUUUGAUUUUAAAUACGUGUGUGUGUAUAAAGAUUUGAAAGCAGUAACAAGCUGUGUUAAUGGUUGCUGUAUUGUGGUGGUAUGGUUGUGGGUAAUUUUUGUUUUCUUUUGAGCAUUUUCUCCAUCAACCAUAAUACUAUUUUAAUACUCAGACAAAAUCGAUAAAGUAUUUUUCUAAAACAUUACAGGA